UAGCCCUGUACAAAAACCACAAGUUACAGAGCAUAAAAAAUAAUUAACAGUAUAAUAAAAUGCUGUGUUUAAUGUUCAUAAAUAAAUAGAGUUCAUAAUAAUAAAAUGGGUUAAAAUGUGUGCGUGUUAAAAGCAUAAAUAUAAUACGUUUAAUAAAACUAUUUACAGUUAAAAGAUAAAUUAAUGUAAAGGUCUUUAAGUUUAUCAAGUCUAAAAUAUUUGUGAAUUCAGGAUAUAAAAGAGAAAGAAGCCGUGUUUAUGUUUAACUUAACCUUUUACCUGUCACACGUAAAUCAUUUAAUUUGUUUUGUCUUUGGUUGUAUUAAAACUUCACAAGCCAAUCCGAAUAAAGUCUCAACGUGUAAAGGGCGGGACUAGUGCAGCAGGUUAGCGUGGGGAGUAGUGAGCACAUGUAGAGAAAGAAACCUGACCGGACUGAGAGCUAAGAGGAGGCAUCGUAGUGUGGGAAGCAGUUAAGUUUUAUCGUGAGGUCGACUACUCGUGGUCCUGAUUUAAACUUCUUUGUGACCUGCAAAAAGGAGCUGGACGUUGGAGAGAGAGGGGUUUCCAGCAGAUGGCCCUGCUGUUUUCUGUGUUUUCUUCCUUGUGACUUCGCCACCGCCAUUGCCCACGUGUGUGUUUGGAUUGCCACCGCCAUUGCCAUUAUCUUCGUGAGAAUAUCAUCCCCCAAUCCCUUUCUGCCCCUACUAAUUACACCCUGGAUUUCGUGAGUACUGAUUUACACAUUGCACGUGCUUUUAUUUUGAGCUCAACGCUGAGUGAAGCGGCCAGUACAGUUUUUAGGCCCCACCGCACACAAGCUUCAACUAACAGGCCUGCAACGGGUUAACCUCAUUUAAAGUGUCUUGUUAAUUUGAUUGUGUGUGGUACAUUGAGUUUGCAUUGUUGUAAAUUGGAGAAUCCCGUGCAUCUGAUUUUAUUUAUUUUAUUUGUUUAUUUGUUUUCUUUUCCUAAAAUACAUUAGACUAGUAUUUCAUUUUCUUGAAUAAAUAUGUGAUUGAAUACUUUUACAU